rnacentral:tRNA from 1 species
CGACUUAGCUCAGCUGGUAGAGCAACGGUUUUGUAAACCGUAGGUCGUCGGUUCAAGCCCGACAGUC